rnacentral:rRNA from 1 species
UACGGAGGGUGCAAGCGUUAUCCGGAUUCACUGGGUUUAAAGGGUGCGUAGGAGGGCAGGUAAGUCAGUGGUGAAAUCUUCGAGCUUAACUCGGAAACUGCCUUGAUACUAUCUGUCUUGAAUACCGUGGAGGUGAGCGGAAAUAUGUCAUGUAGCGGUGAAAUGCUUAGAUAUACAUAGAACACCAAUUGCGAAGGCAGCUCGCUACACGAAUAUUGACUCUGAGGCACGAAAGCGUGGGGAUCAAACAGG